rnacentral:rRNA from 1 species
UACGUAGGGGGCAAGCGUUGUCCGGAUUUAUUGGGCGUAAAGAGCUCGUAGGCGGUUUGUCGCGUCGACUGUGAAAACCUACAGCUUAACUGUGGGCUUGCAGUCGAUACGGGCAGACUUGAGUUCGGUAGGGGAGACUGGAAUUCCUGGUGUAGCGGUGAAAUGCGUAGAUAUCGUGUGGAACGCCAAUGGUGAAAACAGGUUGCUGGGAGUGUGCUGACGCUGAGACACGAAAGCCAGGGGAGCAAACGGG